UUAAGCGACUAAGCGUACACGGUGGAUGCCCUGGCAGUCAGAGGCGAUGAAGGACGUGCUAAUCUGCGAAAAGCGUCGGUAAGGUGAUAUGAACCGUUAUAACCGGCGAUGUCCGAAUGGGGAAACCCAGUGCAAUUCGUUGCACUAUCGUUAACUGAAUACAUAGGUUAACGAGGCGAACCGGGGGAACUGAAACAUCUAAGUACCCCGAGGAAAAGAAAUCAACCGAGAUUCCCCCAGUAGCGGCGAGCGAACGGGGAGCAGCCCAGAGUCUGAAUCAGCUUGUGUGUUAGUGGAACGGUCUGGAAAGUCCGACGGUACAGGGUGAUAGUCCCGUACACCAAAAUGCACAGGCUGUGAACUCGAAGAGUAGGGCGGGACACGUGGUAUCCUGUCUGAAUAUGGGGGGACCAUCCUCCAAGGCUAAAUACUCCUGACUGACCGAUAGUGAACCAGUACCGUGAGGGAAAGGCGAAAAGAACCCCGGCGAGGGGAGUGAAAAAGAACCUGAAACCGUGUACGUACAAGCAGUGGGAGCACCUUCGGGUGUGACUGCGUACCUUUUGUAUAAUGGGUCAGCGACUUAUAUUCUGUAGCAAGGUUAACCGUAUAGGGGAGCCGCAGGGAAACCGAGUCUUAACUGGGCGUUAAGUUGCAGGGUAUAGACCCGAAACCCGGUGAUCUAGCCAUGGGCAGGUUGAAGGUUGGGUAACACUAACUGGAGGACCGAACCGACUAAUGUUGAAAAAUUAGCGGAUGACUUGUGGCUGGGGGGUGAAAGGCCAAUCAAACCGGGAGAUAGCUGGUUCUCCCCGAAAGCUAUUUAGGUAGCGCCUCGUGAAUUCAUCUUCGGGGGUAGAGCACUGUUUCGGCUAGGGGGUCAUCCCGACUUACCAACCCGAUGCAAACUACGAAUACCGAAGAAUGUUAUCACGGGAGACACACGGCGGGUGCUAACGUCCGUCGUGAAGAGGGAAACAACCCAGACCGCCAGCUAAGGUCCCAAAGUCAUGGUUAAGUGGGAAACGAUGUGGGAAGGCACAGACAGCCAGGAUGUUGGCUUAGAAGCAGCCAUCAUUUAAAGAAAGCGUAAUAGCUCACUGGUCGAGUCGGCCUGCGCGGAAGAUGUAACGGGGCUAAACCAUGCACCGAAGCUGCGGCAGCGACACUAUGUGUUGUUGGGUAGGGGAGCGUUCUGUAAGCCUGCGAAGGUGUGCUGUGAGGCAUGCUGGAGGUAUCAGAAGUGCGAAUGCUGACAUAAGUAACGAUAAAGCGGGUGAAAAGCCCGCUCGCCGGAAGACCAAGGGUUCCUGUCCAACGUUAAUCGGGGCAGGGUGAGUCGACCCCUAAGGCGAGGCCGAAAGGCGUAGUCGAUGGGAAACAGGUUAAUAUUCCUGUACUUGGUGUUACUGCGAAGGGGGGACGGAGAAGGCUAUGUUAGCCGGGCGACGGUUGUCCCGGUUUAAGCAUGUAGGCUGGUUAUCCAGGCAAAUCCGGAUAAUCAAGGCUGAGGUGUGAUGACGAGGCACUACGGUGCUGAAGUAACAAAUGCCCUGCUUCCAGGAAAAGCCUCUAAGCAUCAGGUAACAUUAAAUCGUACCCCAAACCGACACAGGUGGUCAGGUAGAGAAUACCAAGGCGCUUGAGAGAACUCGGGUGAAGGAACUAGGCAAAAUGGUGCCGUAACUUCGGGAGAAGGCACGCUGGUGUGUAGGUGAAGCCCCUGCGGGUGGAGCUGAGACCAGUCGAAGAUACCAGCUGGCUGCAACUGUUUAUUAAAAACACAGCACUGUGCAAACACGAAAGUGGACGUAUACGGUGUGACGCCUGCCCGGUGCCGGAAGGUUAAUUGAUGGGGUUAUCCGUAAGGAGAAGCUCUUGAUCGAAGCCCCGGUAAACGGCGGCCGUAACUAUAACGGUCCUAAGGUAGCGAAAUUCCUUGUCGGGUAAGUUCCGACCUGCACGAAUGGCGUAAUGAUGGCCAGGCUGUCUCCACCCGAGACUCAGUGAAAUUGAACUCGCUGUGAAGAUGCAGUGUACCCGCGGCAAGACGGAAAGACCCCGUGAACCUUUACUAUAGCUUGACACUGAACAUUGAGCCUUGAUGUGUAGGAUAGGUGGGAGGCUUUGAAGCGUGGACGCCAGUCUGCGUGGAGCCAACCUUGAAAUACCACCCUUUAAUGUUUGAUGUUCUAACGUUGGCCCCUUACCGGGGUUGCGGACAGUGUCUGGUGGGUAGUUUGACUGGGGCGGUCUCCUCCCAAAGCGUAACGGAGGAGCACGAAGGUUAGCUAAUCCUGGUCGGACAUCAGGAGGUUAGUGCAAUGGCAUAAGCUAGCUUGACUGCGAGCGUGACGGCGCGAGCAGGUGCGAAAGCAGGUCAUAGUGAUCCGGUGGUUCUGAAUGGAAGGGCCAUCGCUCAACGGAUAAAAGGUACUCCGGGGAUAACAGGCUGAUACCGCCCAAGAGUUCAUAUCGACGGCGGUGUUUGGCACCUCGAUGUCGGCUCAUCACAUCCUGGGGCUGAAGUAGGUCCCAAGGGUAUGGCUGUUCGCCAUUUAAAGUGGUACGCGAGCUGGGUUUAGAACGUCGUGAGACAGUUCGGUCCCUAUCUGCCGUGGGCGCUGGAGAAUUGAGGGGGGCUGCUCCUAGUACGAGAGGACCGGAGUGGACGCAUCACUGGUGUUCGGGUUGUCAUGCCAAUGGCACUGCCCGGUAGCUAAAUGCGGAAGAGAUAAGUGCUGAAAGCAUCUAAGCACGAAACUUGCCCCGAGAUGAGUUCUCCCUGAGACUUUAAGUCUCCUGAAGGAACGUUAAAGACGAUGACGUUGAUAGGCCGGGUGUGUAAGCGCAGCGAUGCGUUGAGCUAACCGGUACUAAUGAACCGUGAGGCUUAACCUU
rnacentral:rRNA from 1 species